AGCGAACGCUGGCGGCAGGCCUAACACAUGCAAGUCGAACGAACUCUUCGGAGUUAGUGGCGGACGGGUGAGUAACACGUGGCAACGUGCCUUUUGGUUCGGAAUAACUCAGGGAAACUUGUGCUAAUACCGAAUGUGCCCUUCGGGGGAAAGAUUUAUCGCCAUUAGAGCGGCCCGCGUCUGAUUAGCUAGUUGGUGAGGUAACGGCUCACCAAGGCGACGAUCAGUAGCUGGUCUGAGAGGAUGACCAGCCACACUGGGACUGAGACACGGCCCAGACUCCUACGGGAGGCAGCAGUGGGGAAUCUUGCGCAAUGGGCGAAAGCCUGACGCAGCCAUGCCGCGUGAAUGAUGAAGGUCUUAGGAUUGUAAAAUUCUUUCACCGGGGACGAUAAUGACGGUACCCGGAGAAGAAGCCCCGGCUAACUUCGUG
rnacentral:rRNA from 1 species